GCCAUUGCAGCUGAUGACAUAACUUUUUUCCCCAUCAGAUCGACCCUGUUGAUCUAACUGAACCAUUAGCCAGUGUUUUGUCUGAUGCUUUGGC
ensembl:snoRNA SNORD12 small nucleolar RNA, C/D box 12